rnacentral:sRNA from 1 species
UCCGAUCGAGAUGAGGUUGGCGCGCAGCUCUUCGUUGAGCUGGUUGUCCGGCGCGCGCAGAUCUUCGA